AGGAAGGGCGGGUCAGCGCGCCGGCGCAGUGCGGCGGUCACAGGCUGAGUGCUGCGGCGCGAUCCUUGCUUCCCUGAGCGUUGGCCCGGGAGGAAAGAAGAUGGUGCUGGAUCUGGAUUUGUUUCGGGUGGAUAAAGGAGGGGACCCAGCCCUCAUCCGAGAGACGCAGGAGAAGCGCUUCAAGGACCCGGGACUAGUGGACCAGCUGGUGAAGGCAGACAGCGAGUGGCGACGAUGAUCAAAGGCUUCUCCUGAGACUGCGUCACUUCUGCAACACAGUAGAUUCAUUCCUUCGGUAUCGGAAGCAUUUCGGGGCGUUGGAGGCCGCUCUUGGCCAAAAUAAAUGACCCUGAAGCUUUUCGGAAGGCCAUCCCCCGACCUAUGGGCAUACCUUUAAGAAUUAGAAAAGUCUUUUCCGUGGUAGAUCAAACGCGAGGGGAGUGAGGAGGCGAGCAAAAGAUUGUAAUGACUGAAGCUGUUUAAUUGUGAUUUGUGGACGUUUUCCUUUAAAGACAUUGGCAGAGUUGGGCUAGAACCUGGAACUGCCGGAUCUUGGAGUCAUAUCGGGCAUCUAUCAUGAAGCCGAAUAAAACCAUAGAACCAUCUGCCCAUAAAUCUCUGCCUGUAUUAACUGGAGUGGUCGCUGGUUGGGCGGAUGCUGUCAAGUACUUGUGAUUUGAUUUGUCUGAUGCAAUAGGUCUGCAACCAUCUGGGAGCUAGGUCGAUGACAGUACACUGCAAAGGCAGCCACUAUCCAAGAGUGUGAUGGAUUUCUAUUAGGAAAAUUGAUUUUCUCCUGUUUAUAAGGAUCUUGGAUGUCAAAAGAAUAUUUGUUUAACUUGAGUUUUGUGCUGAUUCUAUGUCUUAGGCCCUCUAUUGUAGUAGUUUGUUUGAUUGUGAGAUUCCACACUUGACCUGAAGUUUCGAGUUGCAAUGGAAUUUAAUUUUGCCACAUUUUUUGUUUAGGAUAAAACUAGCCUGAGCACUGUUCUACUGAAUCUGAAGUCAGGAGUAUCAGAUUUUUGUGUCAGUCCAGCCCUUAGCCAGUGCUAAAUGACUUUGAAUGUGUUAGCUAGUCUUUUGGGUAUAAUGUCCACAUCUGAGGGAUUUGUCCCUUAUCUGAAAAGUAGAUAGGUGGUGAGUUCUUCAGGGACAAGGAUUCAAUUUUAUUCAUACAGUAUAUAUGUGGAUAUACAUAUACACAUUUAUACAUAAAAUCCCAGUACCUAGCACUGUACCUGGUCCUUGGUAAGGCCUUGAUAAAGGUUUGUUAGAGGCGUGAAUAUUUUCUGUCUUCAGGGCACUUUAUAUUCUUUAUGAAAAGCAGUUUAUGUAGUUUAUGUUAUUGUUUUAAAAAACUUAAUCCUAAAUGUGAAGUCAUUUCUUUUCUUUGUUUUGUUUUGUUUUGUUUUUGAGACGGAGUCUCUCAUUAUCACCCAGAUUGGAGUGCAGUGGCACCAUCUCGGCUCACUGCAACCUCCAUCUCCCGGUUUCAAGAGAUUAUCAUGCCUCAGCCUCCAAGUAGCUGGGACUACAGGUGUGCACCACCACACCCAGCUAAUUUUUUUUUUUAGUUGAGAUGGGAGUUUCACCAUGUUGGCCAGGCUGGUCUCUAACUCCUGACCUCAAGUGAUCCGCCUGCCUCAGCCUCCCAAAGUGCUGGGAUUACAGGUGUGAGCCACCAUGCCUGGCCAAUAGUUUAUUUCCAAUGCAUCUAUUAAUUUGAUUCUUUUCUAUUUGACAACCCUUUCCAAUAUUCUCUUUGCAUCCAAAUGGAAUUUAUGUUUUUUCCCAAGUUCCCAACUGCCCAAGGUAGACACUGGCAGAUUUAUAUCAAGGUUCUUUGACAUCUUGAACUUCAGAUCAGAGGAUGGAGUUCUUCUCUCAUUGCCUUGAGCAAGGGCUUAUAACCAGAGCCACAUUAAGAACUCAGAUCAUGCUCCCUAAUUGAGGACACAUAGCAAGCUUCACCAAGCCCUCCACUACAACUAUACCAAUUUGUCUUCCUGUAGACUUACAAGGUACCACUAGGGUUCCUUUGGAGAACUCAGGAGUCCAGUAUAACUUGGAGUGAUAAUACCACAUUGGAACUCACAACUCUUCUAACUCCAGGGAUUUGAAUGUGAUUUCUUCUUUUUAAUUCAGAGUAGCGUAAUGAUCCUACACUUGGGCAUAUUUGUCUUGGCCCCACUCCCAAAGCAAAUAGAUUUCCAUGUAACUGGAAAUCUGCUGCAAACCCCAAGAAUUUUAUCCUCCCUCAAAAAGUGCUAUCCUGAGUGGUUUUUUUUUUCUUUUUACUGUACAUUGAAAAUUGAAGUUGUUGUUUCCUUUUUUUUUAAUUUGAGACAAGGUCUCACUGUGUCACCCAGGCAUGAUCACAGCUCACUGCAGCCUCAAUCUCCCCAGGCUCAGAUGAUCCUCCUGCCUUAGACUUCUGACUAGCUGAGACUACAGGCGCAAUGCCACCAUGCCUGGCUAAUGUGUGUAUUUUUUGUAGAGAUGGAGUUUCGUCAUGUUGCCUAGGCUGGCCUCAAACUCCUGGCCUCAAGCGAUCCUCCCACCUCGGCCUCCCAAAGUGUUGGGAUUACAGGCAUGAGUCACCAUGCCCAGGCUAAAGCUGUUAUUUCCUCAUAACCUUUACUGCACAUGUUUUAAAACAGGUCCUUAUCAUUGUUUGCCCCAGCAACUGGAAUAGCUUUCUAUCUGCUUUCAAUCUUAACCCAGUCUCACCAGGGCAUAUAAUCUUUCUAGAAUGCAAAUCUGAUCAUUUUACUUGAAGGCUUAAGUUUUGCAGUGACAUACUUUAGAGCAGCACUGUCUGAUAGGAAUAGAAUGUUAGCUUCAUGUAUACAGAUGCUCCUUGACUUAGGAUGGGUUUAUGUCCCAAUAAAUCCACCAUAAGUUGAAAAUAUUGUAAGUAAAAAAUGCAUGAAAUACACAUACCCUACUGAAUAUCAUAGCUUAGCCAAGCCUACCUUAAAUGUGCUCAGAACACUGAUGUUAACCUACAGUUGGGAAAAAUCAUCUUACACAAACCCUAUUUUAUAAUAAAGUGUGAAUAUCUCAUGUAAUUUAUUACUAUUGAUCAUAAAGUUUAAGCAUUAUAAGUUGGCGAUAGUCUGUAAUUGUUAAUUUGUUUGUAUCCAAUAUAAAAAAUAUAAAGAGAAACAGAUGAAAUUAA